GUGAUGAGCCUCACGGUAGGCGAGAGGUCUGCACAACGCCCUUCACCGA
rnacentral:snoRNA from 1 species